GGUACAGCCAUAGAGUUCAGAAAACCAGGAUCCAGUGAUCUUGGAUAAAGGAAGCCAGAUGUCAUGUGUGGCGAGGCAGCCUAGAGAGAGGUCCCUAUGGUGAGAAACUGGGGCCCCGCUAACAGCCACCUAAGUGAGCUUGGAAGUGGAUCCUCUAGCACCUUAGGACUGCAGCCCUGGCCAGUAGUUUGACUGUCUCCUCAUGAGAGAACCUAUGCCAGAAUCACCAACUAAGCCUUUCCCAAAUUCCUGACCCACAGAAACUGUGAACUGGCCAUCUUGCCUGUUUUCAUAAAAGUCUGAAAUACGGAGGAGACCCUGAUUUAUAUUUUCCAUAGAAGAGAAGAGAGAUUGAGAUGACUCUCUUGCAGUGAGGUAUGGCGUGUCCUCUCCAUGACAAUGUGAGGGAAAGUGAUGUAUGCCACUUCCAGGUUCUAUGGAACCCUGGAAUGAAGAGGAUGCCAACCUUGAAAAGCUAUUCUAGUUCUUUCAAUGUGCCAUAAUGGUAUAGGAGCAAAUGUUUCUGCUGAGGUGAGGACACCAUGUUCCUCUACUGUUGUGGAUGCAGCCCUCACCAGACGACCGAACCUGCCAGUGCCUUGUUCUUGGACUUCCUAGCCUUCAGAACUGCCAGAAUCCUGCUAGGACAUCUCUGCCUGUGGAAGGAGGGCUGGAUGGCAUACUGGGAAUGGCUUUCUAGGAUGACUUCCUGUUGCUACAGACUACAAGAAGCAUUUCUGGCCUUGAUGUUGUCUGAAUGAAGAAGACAUAGGAGUUUCACCAAAGCCUACAGGAAUGAGGAAGCAGGAAGGGCCAGAGUGAAGUGGAAACUUUGAACUUGAAGUUGGAAGACACUGUAAUGAAAGCUGGCUGAGCAAAAACCCAGAGCAUAAUUUCUCACUGGCUGGCUGCUCCAGAUAGUAAUAGCUUCAGUGCCCUUCAGAGUGGAAUUUUCCUGAGCCUGUGAAGAUGUGUGAGGUGUACCCAGCAGGUAGGAUCCUGAUUGUUACACGAACUGUCCACCUCCAUCCAGAGCCGUGUGGCUUGUAGUGCCUUCUCGUGGCAGAUGCAGAAAAGGGCAACCUGUAUCCAAAAGGUGAAAUCAAUAAAUGCAUGAAAAAAAUGCAUAUGAUAGUUUGAUCUGCAGUAGUUUGAAUCUGAGGAUGCUGAACCUGUGGAUAAGGAGAGCCUACUUUUCUUGGACAAAUGCCCUGUGUCAGAAGAGUGUGGUAAACAGAAGCUCAGCUCCUUCAAGGAUGACAGCCUUGGUUACACCACCAGGCUGAAGUGCGGUGGCCCAGUCAUAGCUUACUGCAAACUUGAAAUCCUGGGCUCAAGCAAUACUCCUACUUCAACCUCCUGGGUAGCUGGGACUACUCAUGCCACCAUGCCCAGAACAUUUACUGGUGAUGAGAGACUCUAAAGAAGUCACAGCUUGCUUCCUUUCUGAAGAACGUUGUGAUUUUGGCUCACGUGCAGUGCACGACAACUCUUCUCCAACAGCAUGACAUAGUCCACUGUCUCAGGAUCCCAUUUUUCCACCAGCUGCAGAGCAGGAAGGGACAAAUCAAAGUGUGAGCAUUCGGAUCACCAACGCUGUGACCUCGCUGUGUGAACGGGAGCUACUACAGGAAGGAAGCUUACAAAUGAGCUGCAUGGAUCCCACAUUUUGCUAAAAUCAAAUAGGACCUUUCUCCUCUUUGUUGAAUGCCGUAAUACACAAGAAAUAAGCCAGCAGGAUGCUCAUGUCCAAGGUUUCCCUUUAUCUACCACACGAGUUGGCAUGAAACAACUUCUGGGGUUCAAAUCUUCUGAACAAUGAUACAAGUCUUGGCAAAUUUCAAGAAUAAUUUAAAGAGGAAAUAAAUAGCUUUUUGUUUAACUUGGAUCAAUUAUCUCCUAUUGCUCCCAGCUUCAUGCCAGGUACUCUCCACUGUGCCUGGGAAAUAUGAAUCCCUGCCCUCAUGAAAAAACAUUGGCCAUGAGGAUUUUCCCUACAACCCAAGAACUAUUUGAAGUUUGAAGUCUUUCAGCCCAGACAACACUGGCUAUUUUCACCUUUGCCUUCAACUAUAAAGGCUGGGCUCUCUCUGCAGGAGUGGGUAAGUACAGCCCGUGGUGGAGAAGAGAGAAAAAGUCUUUCAGUGCAGUACAGGCUCUAUCACAAUAGAUGGGCCUUAUUAGCCAUUCUCAGCCUCAUAGAUAAUGUAGUCGUGGAUGGCAUGGUUUGAUCUAGUGAAGAAUUGCCCAGGAGAUUGUGUUGACAUCUGAGAUUUAUUUUAAUCCUUUUUUGCAGAUUUUGUAACGAGCAUUGUAACAAAGUACGCCAAAG
rnacentral:lncRNA from 10 species